UACGUAGGUGGCAAGCGUUUGUCCGGAUUUACUGGGCGUAAAGAGCGCGCAGGCGGUCGUUCAAGUCGCGUGUGAAAGCCCCCGGCUCAACUGGGGAGGGUCACGCGAUACUGAUCGACUCGAAGGCAGGAGAGGGUAGUGGAAUUCCCGGUGUAGUGGUGAAAUGCGUAGAUAUCGGGAGGAACACCAGUGGCGAAGGCGACUACCUGGCCUGUUCUUGACGCUGAGGCGCGAAAGCCAGGGGAGCAAACGGG
rnacentral:rRNA from 1 species